UACAGAGGUCUCAAGCGUUGUUCGGAUUCAUUGGGCGUAAAGGGUGCGUAGGUGGCGGGGUAAGUCAGAUGUGAAAUCUCGGAGCUCAACUCCGAAACUGCAUUUGAUACUGCCUUGCUUGAGUACUGGAGAGGAGAUUGGAAUUUACGGUGUAGCAGUGAAAUGCGUAGAUAUCGUAAGGAAGACCAGUGGCGAAGGCGAAUCUCUGGACAGUUCCUGACACUGAGGCACGAAGGCCAGGGGAGCAAACGGG
rnacentral:rRNA from 1 species